GAGUUUGAUCCUGGCUCAGGAUGAACGCUGGCGGCGUGCUUAACACAUGCAAGUCGAGCGAAGCAUUUAGGAUGAUCUCUUCGGAUUGAGUCUUAUAUGACUGAGCGGCGGACGGGUGAGUAACGCGUGGGUAACCUGCCUCAUACAGGGGGAUAACAGUUAGAAAUGACUGCUAAUACCGCAUAAGCGCACAGGGCUGCAUGGCCUGGUGUGAAAAACUCCGGUGGUAUGAGAUGGACCCGCGUCUGAUUAGCUAGUUGGAGGGGUAACGGCCCACCAAGGCGACGAUCAGUAGCCGGCCUGAGAGGGUGAACGGCCACAUUGGGACUGAGACACGGCCCAGACUCCUACGGGAGGCAGCAGUGGGGAAUAUUGCACAAUGGGGGAAACCCUGAUGCAGCGACGCCGCGUGAAGGAAGAAGUAUCUCGGUAUGUAAACUUCUAUCAGCAGGGAAGAAAAUGACGGUACCUGACU
rnacentral:rRNA from 1 species